rnacentral:rRNA from 1 species
GACGAACGCUGGCGGCGUGCUUAACACAUGCAAGUCGAACGAUGAAGCCUAGCUUGCUAGGUGGAUUAGUGGCGAACGGGUGAGUAAUACGUGAGUAACCUACCUUUAACUCUGGGAUAAGCCUGGGAAACUGGGUCUAAUACCGGAUACGACCAAUCUCCGCAUGGGGUGUUGGUGGAAAGCGUUAUGUAGUGGUUAUAGAUGGGCUCACGGCCUAUCAGCUUGUUGGUGAGGUAACGGCUCACCAAGGCGACGACGGGUAGCCGGCCUGAGAGGGUGACCGGCCACACUGGGACUGAGAGACGGCCCAGACUCCUACGGGAGGCAGCAGUGGGGAAUAUUGCACAAUGGGCGGAAGCCUGAUGCAGCGACGCCGCGUGAGGGAUGACGGCCUUCGGGUUGUAAACCUCUGUUAGCAGGGAAGAAGAGAAAUUGACGGUACCUGCAGAGAAAGCGCCGGCUAACUACGUG